ACUAGAAGUCGCUGAGCCUGAGGCCAUGAAUGAUGUCAUGAACAUGGGUUUUGAGGGCACUCAAUGAACUGUGCACGUAUAUCAUGUGGCCUGUGGAGUUGACUAAACAAAAGGACCUUAGGGAACAAUGAAAGAUCAUUUUAUAAGAAAGGAUCUAGGAACACAGUCACCCCAAAAAGUACUGAUGAAAUGCCAGCACUACAUGUAGGAGGCAUGGCUGGAACCUUCCUGAUGUUGGGGUCUUAUCAACAACAGGGGUUGGAAUACCAAAACUGCUGUUUACUGUUUGACGUUGGCCAGGCGAGGAAAGUAGGAUUGCAAAGUCCUUUCCUGCAUUUCACAGAGAAAUAACCUGAAGUGUUAGAGGCUAAGAGACUGUCAAAAACCACAUGGAAAAGGGAGGUGUUAUCCUGGGA